CGCAUCUGUGCAUGCAGCAUAUCAAUAAGCGGAGGAAAAGAAACUAACAAGGAUUCCCCUAGUAACGGCGAGUGAAGCGGGAAGAGCUCAAAUUUGAAGUCUUAAAGGGUUUCCCUUUACGAAUUGUAGUUUAAAGAAGUGUUUUCUGUUGAGGUUUUGGUAAAAGUUCUUUGGAAUAGGACAUCAUAGAGGGUGAGAAUCCCGUAUUUGACCUUUACUUUCAACUUUGUGAUACACUUUCAAAGAGUCGGAUUGUUUGGGAAUGCAGUCCAAAAUGGGUGGUAAAUUUCAUCUAAAGCUAAAUAUUGGCGAGAGACCGAUAGCGAACAAGUACCGUGAGGGAAAGAUGAAAGAACUUUGAAAAGAGAGUUAAACAGUACGUGAAAUUGUCAAAAGGGAAGCGUUUGACACCAGUGUUGUUUUUCUGAAAAUCAAUUAAAGAACUGUUUAUGCUAAGCUGUUUAGACUUUAUCAGCUAACUGUUUAGUUUUGAGCUUUUCUUUAAUGCACUUUUCAGUUAACAAGUCAACAUCAAUUUCUUUUGCUGUAAAAAAGCUUGAGGAAGGUGGCUUGAGAUUCGUCUUAAGUGUUUAUAGCCUCUUGCCUAUGCAGUCGGAGAGAUUGAGGUCUGCAGCGUAGAUCCUUCGGGGCUAAAUGCAUUUGUGCUAAGUUAUAACAUUUUAUAGACAACUUGUUGACUAUGAUUUGUCUUGUAGCUUACUCGCUUAUGUUAUUUUACCUACGCUUAGGAUGUUGAGCGCAUGUCUCUCUCU
rnacentral:rRNA from 1 species